rnacentral:rRNA from 1 species
UGGGGAAUAUUGGGCAAUGGGGGCAACCCUGACCCAGCGACGCCGCGUGGGGGAAGACGGCCUUCGGGUUGUAAACCUCUUUUGUACGGGAAGAAGGAAGUGACGGUACUGUACGAAUAAGUCCCGGCUCACUACGUGCCAGCAGCCGCGGUCAUACGUAGGGGACGAGCGUUGCCCGGACUUACUGGGCGCAAGGGCGCGCCGGCUGUGCCGCAAGUCAGCUGUUAAAUGUCUGGGCUUAACCCGGGCAUGCGGUUGAGACUGCGGUGCUGGAGUGCUGUAGAGGCAAGUGGAAUUCCCAGUGUAGCGGUGAAAUGCGUAGAUAUUGGGAAGAACACCGGUGGCGAAGGCGACUUGCUGGGCAGCAACUGACGCUGAGGCGCGAAAGCCAGGGGAGCAAACGG